rnacentral:lncRNA from 13 species
AUUUGCAUAAGUGUAAUAAGAAUCUGUUUUCUUUUGUAAUAGGACAAAAUUGGAGAAAUUGGUUAUUUUACCAAGGCUUUAACUGGAAUGGUUGUGCUUUCCUAUAAGGAAUAGAAGUUGACUCAUAAAGCCAAUAAAAGCCCCUUGGAAAUUGGCUGCAGACCUCAUGACCUGUGAUGGAGUCUCCCUCUAUCAUCAGACUGGAGUGCAGUGGUGUGAUCUCAGCUCACUGCAACCUCUGCCUCCUGGGUUCAAGUGAUUAUCCUGUCUGGGACUACAGGGCAAAACCUCAAACCAGUUUGUGUAGCUAUCUACACAUACGAAGAAAUCCUGAUGUCCCUGAGACUUAUGCUUCCUUCUCAUCUCCUUUCCAAUGA